GGAUGUUAGGUGAUCUGGCUGUAACUUCUGCUACCUCAUCAAUUCUGUGGGUUCACUCAGCAGAUCUGGCUGGCUAAGCAGUUGCCCCUCCCUCUUUAAGUGAUUUAUGUCCAUCUAUUACCCAAUUGUCCACUCAGUGGAAGGAGAUGGCUGUCUCUCAGAGAGGAGGGUCCUUCCUUGUUGUACAAGUAGCAGUGCUGCCCGCUAGAACAUCCAAACAAGCACAAAACUCCCAAAUCACCCCCUCUCCCCGUACAAAUCUGUGAAAAACUAACGUAUGGAUCCUUUCUC
ensembl:misc_RNA 7SK 7SK RNA